CUGGUGUUGGCAUGGUUUUUCUCCCCAAAGAUGAUGGUCAUAAUAAAGAGGCAAAAGAAGUUAUUGCAAGUAUCUUUAGACAAGAAGGUCUUGAGGUGCUUGGUUGGAGGCCUGUUCCUGUGAAAGCUUCUGUGGUUGGUAUUAAUGCAAAGAAGACCAUGCCUAACAUUGAGCAGGUAUUCGUCCAAGUAGUUAAAGAAGAGAAUGUGG
rnacentral:misc_RNA from 1 species